UACGAGAGAUGCAAGCGUUAUCCGGAAUUAUUGGGCGUAAAGAGUUUGUAGGUUGCUUUGUGUGUUCCACGUUAAAUAUUAGAGCUUAACUCUGAAAUCGCGUUGAAUACUACUAGGCUUGAGUAUGAUAGAGGUAAAGGGAAUUCCCAGUGUAGCGGUGAAAUGCGUAGAUAUUGGGAAGAACACCAACGGCGAAAGCACUUUACUAGGUUAAUACUGACACUGAGAAACGAAAGCUAAGGUAG
rnacentral:rRNA from 1 species